UAAUAUAAAAAUGAAUAAAACUGAUUGGUAAUGUUAAAGAAGAAAUAAUGUGACAUUAUUUUUCCACAAGAGGGCAGUACUCUAAAAAAACAAAAGAAAGUAGAUAUUUAACAUUAAAAUUGUCUUAUCUUUCCAUGAGAUUUGUGUGCAUUCCAUACUGCCUAAGGAGUAGACAUACCAAGGGGGCGGGGGGGGGGGAUCUUGUCCAUUCUGGGUAAUACGAUUGUGACUCUCAACCAUUUUAGAAGUGGCAUGUAAAACCUGAAUAGCAGACAAUCAUAUUUAGAAAUGCUUUGCCAUAGCAUAGUACAGCUGGAGAUACUACAAUAGAGGCACUUUGGGUAUAUCCAGCCACUUUGCUUCACAUUCUUCUCAGUGAAGCAAAGCUGAUCUGUGUGUAUAUGUCAGUGGGGACAACCAGGAACGGUGUCUGAAAAUGGCUGCUUUAACAAGUUAAAAAAAGGGGCUUCAUAUGCACUUUCAGAAGGCAAUUUAAGGAACUAUGAUUCCCUGAAAUGGAAACUCCCUGAAAUAAAUAGUAUCACCGUUAUUUCACUAGAAAGGGUUGAAGAGCCUGCAGAGUCUGAGGAUUUUCUCCCACUAGCUGCCAUAUAAGAAGCCAUUUCAGCCAUGACAGUUGGUGGAAAGAAAUGAAAGGGUGAUACAACUUAUUGCGAUGACAUUAUGAUGGGAUAAAUGUUAAGUGUAAGGACAUUUUAUGGGAAGGGAAGAACAGAAGAUGAGGAGCUGGGAGGUAGUCCUGCACCAUACUCAGCAUUUUAGCACUGAAACAUAACUAGCUUUUUUGCGCUGAGUCAGACAGGUCCCAGUAGCUUAAUGAGACCUGAAACUCUGUAUGUAAAGCAAGUACUCACUGUCCUUUCCAUAAAUACCCAGUGAUCUUGAGUGGAUGUGAUGGGGGAAAAUCAUUGCAAAGGAAAUUAAGGGCGAGAAAAAUACACUUUUUUAAAAGGGGGUUGGGAAGGGGAUUAAAGCUGAAUCUGGAUCUAAUUAUCUUGGAAAUUAGAGAGCUCAUUGAUUCAUGAAAACACAAUAAUUCAAAUUAUGCACUGACACUUGUACUUAUUCACAGAUCUGUGUAAUCAGCGACAACUAUGUGCUAACUGGAUAAAAAUACAGUGGGGAAGUUAUAUAAUAAAAACACAGCACUCCCUUUCCUGUAAGUAUCUGUUAUGACAUGACGCAAGUUAUUCAUGCCGCUAACUCACAUGAAACUCAGCUAUGCAUAAACAUUAAAUGCUGCAUACCCAAGAAGGGUGUAGUCCCUUUGAAAAGAUUUUAAAGAAUGAUAAGCUGUCACAGACAGCUAAGCAGGAACAAACUGAUUUAUAUGGCAUUCCAUCCACAAUCAUGCUAUAACAUACAGGAUUUUUUUAAACUCGGUGUUAGGGUAGAGACAAACAAACUCAGAGGAAAGCUUGAAGUUCUACUUUUCUUAAGUGUAUGCAAGCUUUCUGGCAACCAGAUUAAUUGAUAAUUGAUAAUUGAAUAAAAAUGAUUAUAAAUAAUUAAAAAGGUGUGCAAGCUAUUAGACCAUCUUUUGCCUCUGGAUAUGUCAAUUCCCAGGAUUCUUGGCCAGUAUGGCUGCUACCAGCUACAGUCUUCUUAUGUCUGGAGGAAUCCAGUCCUUCAGAGCAGGUCAGGUCAAGAAAGAGACACUACAAGAAAUACUAAAAAUAUGUUAUUGAUACAGGCUUUAGUAACAGAAUCUUCAAAGCCCGACAGUGUUUCCCCUUCUUUCCCUCGUUCCUAUAAGAAAGACAGUCAAGGUGGGGCAACCUUGAGUUUCUUUCUCACACUUUGUUUUCCCAGGCUAUGCUCAUGUUUUACUUAUGGUUGCCACAUAUCUUCUUCUACUCCUUUGCAUCAGUUUAGUACAGCUGUCUUAAGCUAUAUAGCCCAUCAAUUCAGCCCCCAGGGCAGCAGCAGUUUCUCAACUGAAUGUUUCCCGAAGCUUAUGGAUUGUUGUUCUGAGAGAGCCAAUGUGGUAUAGUACAUAAGAUAGUGUUUCUCAAUCUUGGCAACGUUAAGUUGUGUGGAGUUCAGCCCCCAGAAUCCCCCAGCCAGCAUGUUGGCUGAGGAAUUCUAGAAGUUGAAGUCUCCUCAUCUUAAAGUUGCCAAGGUUGAGCUGCUGUGCCUUAAGGUGCUGGACUAGGAGUGGGGAGAUCUAGAUUCUAGUCCUCCAUUAGACAUGGAAACCAGCUGGGGGACUUUGGGCCAGUCAUUCCUUCUGAGUCCUAAUCAAGGUCAGGGUCUGCAGUCAAUGGUCUGCAGAAAAACAAAACCUCUCAUUGUAUCAUGCACAGAUAAACUUCACCAAGCAGGACAAAUGCUAAGAACAGUGUUUAUGGUAGACCUGAUUGGUUGAUCUCCUCCCAACUAGCUUCAUCACCCCAAAAAUACUGACUGGAACAGCAGCCCAGAAAGUUUCAAAGAGAUAAAUGCAGUUAAUUAAUCUGACAUCAUCACAUCUCUAAACUUAGCCUAGGAAAUGGUGAUCGGCAACCCACACGGGGGAAGAAAGGGUGAAUAAUUGCAAGGCUUGCAAAGAGAAGCACGAGAUUAACUUUCUGUGCUUGCCUUUUUUGCUGGAGAAAAAGAAUAUUGAAAUAUUUGUUUGUUUAAUGUAAACUAUUUCGAUCACCGCUCAUCUCACCCCAGAGACUCUAGGCGACGCACCGAGGAUCAACCCCCCCCUCCCCACACACACACAGCAGCAUCAUUUACAAAACAGUACUCCAAAAUAGUAAAUGUCAAUAUGAUACUGUUGGUACGGCCUCAGAGCAUAGCCCCCGCUUGCCAUACACGAUCGCUGCUACUGCUUUCCCGGCACCCUUAACGGGCGUCCCGUCAGGAAGCCACCGCACCAAAGCAGCGGGGAAGGGAGGGGAACGGGGAGCGAGACGGCGCAUGCCUCGGCCCCCAAAGCCCCCGUUCCUUCUGUCCUGAAACAAGAGCUCGGCUUAGAAUCCGGAUUUUAAAAAUACCGCUGACCGUGUGCGGGAUAUUUAAUUGCUUAAACUGCUUUCUGACUCUGCCCGGUGUGGCGUUGGCGUCUGGGGCAGCGGAGAACGGGGCAGCUCCUAAACAGGAAAAACGUUCUUCCUCUGAAGUCCCAACUGCUUCUACGACUUCCUUGCGACCGCGGGAAGCCAGCAACGCCCAGCCGCUCGCUUCCCUUUGAGGGAUCCGUCCAGCCCUGCCUCGCCAGCUGACGCCCUUCCCCAGUCACAAUGACCCAGAUCUGCAAGACCAGGCGGCGCGGCGCGACGCGGCCCCUCCACAGCUGCAGUCAAGAAGUGGCACUGGACGGCUCUGGCCACCAUGAGUCCGGCAGCGACGGCCAUCUGUUCCCUCCUCUCUGCCGGCCGCAUUUUCCCAGGAGCUUAGGAAGAGCGGGAAGAAGAGGAGGAGGAGCUCGGUGCUCACGUGCAAAAGGAUUGCGGCGUGACGUCAAAGGAGAACCCCGCAGGGAGGAUUCCCUCGGAGGGGAGCACCACUGCAUGGCCUCUUCUGGGACAGAAAACCAUUUGCAAAAUUAUUUGGAAAGACCAAGUUAUUCACGAACACAAGAUCUUAUGUCAAGCCUUGCAAGAUGUCACACGAGAAGCGAUGUGCCAAAACUUUGCUCCAGUCAUCAGCUCCUGCACGCAAACCCCAGAAGCAAUUUCCUGUAGCUCUGGGCUACAAGAUGGACCAGGCUUUAAUUUCCGAAUAUGUCCCUAUUGUCAUACACCCAGGAGGACUGAAGCCUGAGUAUCUUAGCUUUGCCUUCUAUAACCCUAAUUACUCCAAUUCAUACUCUCCAUUUUACACUUUACAAAAACCAACCUGUGGCUAUCGGUAUUGUCGAGACACUGACCACCGAAGAAAAGUCUUGGAUGUUGAGCGAGCAAAUAUUCCAAAGUGGAGAACUAUUGUGGGGAAAAAGCCAGGUGUGGCUUCAGGAGGCACAAAAUUCUGAUGUGGCCAUGCAUUUCUUCAGAGACUUUCCUCUAUAACAGCAUUUUGAUUCAAAACCUGAAGUCUGUCAUCCUCCCAGCAUGUCUAAAAGGAGAUGCUGCAGAAGCUUCAAAAGAAAGAGUUCUGCCUUAUGGCAAGAGCUUCUGGAACAAACUGCAAUGGAAUAAUCCAAGUCCUCAGGAAAGGUACCGAAGCCAGACUUACUUUGGCUUUGAAACCACAAUCUGUGGUUUAACAUCUAUAGUCACAAAAGCACCAACAUGAAGACCAAAUGAGCUGUUAACUUUUCUGUCUGUUGCCUUAUUUACUAUGAUAUGUUUUUCAUUCCCAGAGAAAUGGGGAGGACAAAAGCAGAAGCAAUUUGAGAUUUGCUUUGUUCAGCCAACCAUAAUUCCAGAUAUUACAAUGAAAGCAAAACCACAACACUUCCCUCAACAUCUGUGUAACAGAGCUAUAUAACAUUCACAUUAAUAUUUAGAAUCUAAUAAUUAAGGGAAGCCAUCUGUAGGGUAGAUGUGGAAGUUAAAAGGCCAGUUUAGUGAGUUAUGUAUUCAGGUAUACUGGAUAAAGUAAAAAAUAGUAGAGCUGGGAACCUGCUAUAGGGCAAGCAAGUUGGGGAAAUAAACCAUUUUCCAAGCUGCCAGGAACAGAAAUGAUACAAUAGGCUUGAUGGUGGAGAACAUUGUCAAGGUUUAGUAGUGGAGAAAAUAAUCACAUUUCUAGAAUAGCAGUGGGCAAGCUAUGGGGUGCAUUCCCCUCCUUUAGUAUGUCCAUGGCCCCACAUACAUGUGCAAAAUGAUUGGCCCACACUUGCAUCCUGGUUCCACCUAUUUGAGCACAGCCCUUGGCCAGUGAAAUGGUGCCCAUCUUUGCUCUAAAAUCAUGGUGUACUUGAAGCAAAUUUUAAACUCUCCAGCGACAUGUUGAUCAUGUUGGGUUUACAACACCUACUUUACAUUGUUCUCUUUUGUUUUAUAUAAAAAGGUAGAAGUCUCAUUGGUUUACAGUUUAGCUCCUAAUGUCUUCAUGGACAUGUUUUGGGAACAGUACAGAAAGAUUUGCUCUUACCUUCUUCCAAUUUUUUUUUUUUUUUACUUCCCAGUGUAGCCUACAGCCUUAGCAUAUCCUGGUAGUCUCCCAUCCAAUUACUAACCAGAUCCAGUUCUGUUUAGUUUUUUACUUAAGUGACAGGAUCCAGGAUUGCAUGAGGCCACCUCUUCCUUAAUUGACAGACCAAGAGCCUCCAUGAAGCUUUUCUUUGUAAGGAUCUGACUGGUGUAGCAGAGAGAGGCCUAUGCUUCCAUGCUGCUGGAGAAGUAAAAGGAUGAGCUAUUCCUUCCUCCACCUUCUGCUAUCUUAUGAAAGAGGAGGUUAUUCAUACUUUUUGUUUGUUUGUUCUGGAUUUCUUUUUCCAUCUGUUUUAUGACAGAACACUUAGGGGUAUAUAGUUGCUGUCAAAUUUCCCUCAUGCAAAUGUCUUUUGGAGUUAUACUUGUUUAUGACUCUACCUAGAUUACCGCUGGAGGGCAGCAUUGAUCCCCAGUGAAUAGGCUAAAUGACCAGGGACUUGCAGAGAGGUGAAGGCAACCCUGGAGCACCAAAAAGUAAAUGGAAACCCUUGACUAGGCUGUGUGCAGAGCAGCUUCUAAUAAAAGCCAAGUUCAGGUUGGGAUUAUCAAGUGCUGAAUUCUGACGCCAAUUGGAACAAAUCCUCUGAAGCCUUCUGAUUUUGCUAAGGGCUCUCUCUACUACUUAGCAGAUAUGAUAAUUCCUUUGCAAUAAAGAAGUGUUUCGACCUUGCUCUUGUUCUUUCACAACCUGAAAAAGUGUGUCACAAGGAGCCCUUCUGUCUUCUGUAUCUACUGCUCUCA